rnacentral:lncRNA from 1 species
AAUAUCUCCCUGCUCGCAAUGGGCCUUUCUCACCUGAGGGAUAUGUCGUCUUGUUUUUGCAUCAUUAGAUCUGACCAGAACAGCACAGCACCAUAUUCCCCUCUGAGAGGCCGUCACACACCCAUCAGCCUCCCGGGGAGAGGGGGCAGACCCAGCAACAGCCUCCAGGGCCCUCCAUCCGCAGCACCAGCAAGCUGUGUCCAAGCAGCGUGCAGGUAAACAAGCAGCUACAAGACAGCAUCUGCAUCAGGCUCAUUGAUUUCUCUGACUUUGCUCUACUUAUGCUUUUUUUCUG